rnacentral:rRNA from 1 species
AUAUCAGUCAUGCAUAGCAUAUCAAUAAGCGGAGGAAAAGAAACUAACAAGGAUUCCCUUAGUAACGGCGAGUGAAGCGGGAAGAGCUCAAAUUUGAAAUCAUCAAGGUUUUACCUUGACGAAUUGUAGUUUAAAGAAGUGUUUUCUGUUGAAGUUUUGGUAAAAGUUCUUUGGAAUAGGACAUCAUAGAGGGUGAGAAUCCCGUAUUUGACCAUUACUUUCAGCUUUGUGAUACACUUUCAAAGAGUCGGAUUGUUUGGGAAUGCAGUCCAAAAUGGGUGGUAAAUUUCAUCUAAAGCUAAAUAUUGGCGAGAGACCGAUAGCGAACAAGUACCGUGAGGGAAAGAUGAAAAGAACUUUGAAAAGAGAGUUAAACAGUACGUGAAAUUGUCAAAAGGGAAGCGUUUGACACCAGUGUUGUUUUCUCGAAAAUCAAUUAAAAAGAGUUGGAUUUUGUGUUGUAUUGACUUUAUCAGCUUUCUUCACUCUUUUCCAGCUUUUUUUAAUGCACUUUUCGUUUAACAAGUCAACAUCAGUUUCUUUUGUUGUAAAAAGGUCAUUGGAAGGUGGCUUUCUCUUCGGAGAAAGUGUUUAUAGCCUUUGACUCAUGCAAUCGGAGAGACUGAGGUCUGCAGCGUAGAUCCUUCGGGGUUAGAUACAUUUGUGCUAAGUUAUAGCUUUUCAUAGACAACUUGUUGACUAUGUUUAGUCUUGUAGCUUACUCGCUUAUGCUAUUUUACCUACGCUUAGGAUGUUGAACUCUAUCACACACAG